GGCUCAGGAUAAACGCUGGCGGCGUGCCUAACACAUGCAAGUCGAACGCACACGGACGAGUUCUGUGUGAGUGGCGGACGGGUGAGGAACACGUGGGUAAUCUGCCCUGUGGUGAGGAAUACCAGCGAGAAAUCGCUGACAAUACCGCAUAGGUUUGUAAAAACAACAAAGCUUCGUAAGAAGCGCCACAGGAUGAGCCCGCGCCCGAUUAGCUGGUUGGUGGGGUAAUGGCCUACCAAGGCGACGAUCGGUAGCUGGUCUGAGAGGAUAGUCAGCCACACUGGGAUUGAGAACGGCCCAGACUCCUACGGGAGGCAGCAGUGAGGAAUUUUCCGCAAUGGGCGCAAGCCUGACGGAGCAACGCCGCGUGCAGGAUGAAGGUCUUCGGAUCGUAAACUGCUUUUCCCAGGGACGAGAAUGGACGGUACCUGGGGAAUAAGUUCCGGCUAACUACGUGCCAGCCGCUGC
rnacentral:rRNA from 1 species